rnacentral:rRNA from 1 species
CGUGCUUAACACAUGCAAGUCGAGCGAAGCGAUUUCAAUAAAGUUUUCGGAUGGAAUUUAAAUUGACUUAGCGGCGGACGGGUGAGUAACGCGUGGGUAACCUGCCUCAUACAGGGGGAUAACAGUUGGAAACGGCUGCUAAUACCGCAUAAGCACACAGUGCCGCAUGGUACGGUGUGAAAAACUCCGGUGGUAUGAGAUGGACCCGCGUCUGAUUAGGUAGUUGGUGAGGUAACAGGCCCACCAAGCCGACGAUCAGUAGCCGACCUGAGAGGGUGACCGGCCACAUUGGGACUGAGACACGGCCCAAACUCCUACGGGAGGCAGCAGUGGGGAAUAUUGGACAAUGGGGGAAACCCUGAUCCAGCGACGCCGCGUGAGUGAAGAAGUAUUUCGGUAUGUAAAGCUCUAUCAGCAGGGAAGAAAAUG